ensembl:miRNA MIR6127 microRNA 6127
ACUUUCUCCAUCUACCAAGAUGAGGGAGUGGGUGGGAGGUGGGAAGGCUGCCCCAAAUGGCCUCUAACAUCCCUUCCAGUCUCCUCCUCCUCCUCCUCCUUCUUCUUCU